AGCGAACGCUGGCGGCAGGCUUAACACAUGCAAGUCGAGCGGCCACUUCGGUGUCAGCUGCCGACGGGUGAGUAACCCGUCGGAACGUACCCUUUUGUUCCGAAUAAUGCUGUUACACUAGCGAUAAUACCGGAUACGCCCUUCUUGGGCAAGGCUUGCUGCCCAAGUAUCAGCCGGCGUCUGAUUAGCUAGUUGGUGGGGUAAUGGCCUACCACGGCGUCGCUCAGUAGCUGGUCUGAGAGGAUGAUCAGCCACACUGGGAGUAGGAACCGGCAGAGAAUCCUGGGGGAGGGAGGAGAGGGGAAUAUUGGACAAUGGGGGCAGGGCUGAUGGAGCCAUGCGGGGUGAGUGAUGAAGGUGUGAGGGUUGUAAAGCUCUUUUGUCCGGGACGAUAAUGACGGUAACGGAAGAAUAAGCACCGGCUAACUUCGUG
rnacentral:rRNA from 1 species